AGAGUUUGAUCCUGGCUCAGAACGAACGCUGGCGGCAUGCCUAACACAUGCAAGUCGAACGAGACCUUCGGGUCUAGUGGCGCACGGGUGCGUAACGCGUGGGAAUCUGCCCUUGGGUUCGGGAUAACAGUUGGAAACGACUGCUAAUACCGGAUGAUGACUUCGGUCCAAAGAUUUAUCGCCCAGGGAUGAGCCCGCGUCGGAUUAGCUAGUUGGUGGGGUAAAGGCUCACCAAGGCGACGAUCCGUAGCUGGUCUGAGAGGAUGAUCAGCCACACUGGGACUGAGACACGGCCCAGACUCCUACGGGAGGCAGCAGUGGGGAAUAUUGGACAAUGGGCGAAAGCCUGAUCCAGCAAUGCCGCGUGAGUGAUGAAGGCCUUAGGGUUGUAAAGCUCUUUUACCCGGGAAGAUAAUGGCUGUACCGGGAGAAUAAGCCCCGGCUAACUCCGUGCCAGCAGCCGCGGUAAUACGGAGGGGGCUAGCGUUGUUCGGAAUUACUGGGCGUAAAGCGCACGUAGGCGGCUUUGUAAGUUAGAGGUGAAAGCCCGGGGCUCAACUCCGGAAUUGCCUUUAAGACUGCAUCGCUAGAAUUGUGGAGAGGUGAGUGGAAUUCCGAGUGUAGAGGUGAAAUUCUUACAUAUUCGGAAGAACACCAGUGGCGAAAGCGACUCACUGGACACACUUUGCCGCUGACGUGCGAAACCGCGGGC
rnacentral:rRNA from 1 species